rnacentral:rRNA from 1 species
UACAGAGGGUGCAAGCGUUAAUCGGAAUUACUGGGCGUAAAGCGCGCGUAGGUGGUUCGUUAAGUUGGAUGUGAAAUCCCCGGGCUCAACCUGGGAACUGCAUCCAAAACUGGCGAGCUAGAGUAUGGUAGAGGGUGGUGGAAUUUCCUGUGUAGCGGUGAAAUGCGUAGAUAUCUGGAGGAAUACCGGUGGCGAAGGCGGCAUCCUGGACCGGCAUUGACGCUGAGGAGCGAAAGCUAGGGGAGCAAACGGG